rnacentral:rRNA from 1 species
GACGAACGCUGGCGGCGUGCUUAACACAUGCAAGUCGAACGGAAAGGCCCCUUCGGGGGUACUCGAGUGGCGAACAGGUGCGUAACACGUGAGUAACCUGCCCUUGACUUCGGGAUAACUUCAGGAAACUGGGGCUAAUACCGGAUAGGAAUCCUUGCUGCAUGGUGGGGGUUGGAAAGCUUCGGCGGUUUUGGAUGGACUCGCGGCAUAUCAGCUUGUUGGUGGGGUAGUGGCUUACCAAGGCGUUGACGGGUAGCCGGCCUGAGAGGGCGACCGGCCAUAUUGGGACUGAGAGACGGCCCAGACUCCUACGGGUGGCAGCAGUGGGGAAUAUUGCACAAGGGGCGGAGGCCGGAUGCAGCAACGCCGCGGGCGGUAUGACGGCCUUCGGGUUGUAAACCGCUUUCAGCAGGGGCGAAGCUUGUGGUGACGGUACCUGCAGAAGAAGCACCGGCUAACUACGUG